AGUGAACGCUGGCGGUAGGCCUAACACAUGCAAGUCGAACGGCAGCACAGUAAGAGCUUGCUCUUACGGGUGGCGAGUGGCGGACGGGUGAGGAAUACAUCAGAAUCUACUUUUUCGUGGGGGAUAACGUAGGGAAACUUACGCUAAUACCGCAUACGACCUACGGGUGAAAGCAGGGGAUCUUCGGACCUUUCGCGAUUGAAUGAGCCGAUGUCGGAGUAGCUAGUUGGCGGGGUAAGGGCCCACCAAGGCGACGAUCCGUAGCUGGUCUGAGAGGAUGAUCAGCCACACUGGAACUGAGACACGGUCCAGACUCCUACGGGAGGCAGCAGUGGGGAAUAUUGGACAAUGGGCGCAAGCCUGACCCAGCCAUACCGCGUGGGUGAAGAAGGCCUUCGGGUUGUAAAGCCCUUUUGUUGGGAAAGAAAAGCAGCAGGUUAAUACCCCGCUGUUCUGACGGUACCCAAAGAAUAAGCACCGGCUAACUUCGUG
rnacentral:rRNA from 1 species